UACGUAGGGUGCAAGCGUUAAUCGGAAUUACUGGGCGUAAAGCGAGCGCAGGCGGUUAUGUAAGACAGAUGUGAAAUCCCAGGGCUCAACCUUGGAACUGCAUUUGUGACUGCAUGGCUAGAGUGCGUCAGAGGGGGGUGGAACUCCACGUGUAGCAGUGAAAUGCGUAGAGAUGUGGAAGAACACCGAUGGCGAAGGCAGCCCCCUGGGAUGACACUGACGCUCAUGCUCGAAAGCGUGGGGAGCAAACAGG
rnacentral:rRNA from 1 species